rnacentral:rRNA from 1 species
AUGCCAGGCAACGACCAAAGCUUUGACAUCAACGCCUACCUGCGUUACAUCUUCAGCGAGGAGAACGAGCCGGAGCAGGUCGGGGAGCAAGAGCUUCAUCGGCUGGUGCAGGCACCAUGGCCCAUCGACAGCGAUAUCGACGUCACAGUCCUUGGGAGCACAAUCGACAUAUUGCAGAGGAUGUGUGAUGAGCAGUUUGCCAUCCACCGUGCAAAAGAUCCAGAGCUGCUCGGCGGCAUGAUCGACGACCCACCCGAAGAGCCGCCGUCACUAGUGCUCAUCGAGAGCCUGAUGCCCCGCAAGGAAUGGGCAGAGGACCUGUGUGAUUCAGUCAAGAUAAAGGCAGCCUACCGCUUCAUAAUUGCCCGCGACGGCUGUGUCAACCUCGAUCCCGAUGAUGUGGUGGCCAGGCUCGAGUGCAUCCUUGGCGGAGUUGAUGUCCCCGACGAAAGACAUGGAAAUGGAGCGGUUCCGUGGAGUUGUCAUGCGCGAGAUUGCACGCUGUCAAGCUCUUCUCGAAGAGGCCCAGUAGCCCCAAGAGCCUCCCAGCGCCAGCAGCUCCGUAGGCAGAGGCGGGUCGGGACACUCGGAGUGAACGGCCGCAUGGGUGCUAUGUUGAUCAUGGAGUCUGAGAAGACCAUCGUCGGAAGGCCGCCAGCUCAGCCUUUUAGCUUAUAUUUUAUUAUAAUUAGCGCGCGCAGGGACGCCGGAGCGGAGCGCGCCGCGGCCGCCUCAACGGCGAGCAACCACGUGUCAAAUUCGAUUUCCACUUCACGGUCAUUUUCACUGGCCUAUGACGGGUGGGCUCGUUUCGGGCGUUCAUUGGCUGGGUCAGCCGUGCCCGCGUGCAGGAGAUUUUGGCCAAUCCACUCCGCGUAUUCCGCAACCAAUUGCCCAAUCCCUUCCUCGCCUCAGUCCCGUGCCAGCCGCCGCCCAAACCCUAGCCCCCGUUUCCCUCGAUCCCCACAGCCUCUCCCGCCUCCUCCAUCCCUCGUCCUCCCAUCACCACGUCCUCUGCCAUGGAGCCUCGCCACCGCGUGCUACUCCUCCACCACACUGCCCUUCCACCUCGCCAUCCUUCUCCUCUCUGUCUAUGCGGUCGUCGGUGGCGCCUGGUUCCAAAUCCGGCGCAGGUUAGCCGAGUCGGCCGAUGGUGAGGUGAAGGAGCAGGAUGCAGCCGCCCCAUGGCCGGCCUCGACGAGCACGGCCUCGAUCCGGCCUCAGCCGGAGGACCUCGAGCCUAGGAGUGCGGCCUCGAUCGGGACUCGGCAUCUGGGGCGACGACGGAGGAGGAGGGGAAAGGAGGGGAGCAGCAGCCAGCAUCUGGGGCGGCGGCGGCUGGACUCCAUGAGCUGGCCGAGGUGCUUCAUGUCAAGGAAGCAGCUGACAGUUCAAGCUGACCUGCUGGUGUUGCUGCUGUGCUGUAGAGGUGGUAUUGAAGUUGUGGCUGUCAGUAGUCCUUUUAUUGAUGCUAACUACAUGGCCUAUAUGUUCAAGUAUGACUCCACUGAUGGCCCCUUUAAAGGAUCCAUUAAGGUUGUGGAUGAUUCAAUAUUGGAGAUUAAUGCGAAAAAAUCACAACCACAAGCAAAAGUAAGAGGAAAUGGGGCGUUGUUAGGCGGGACCUUGCUACUGUUGCCUUGGGUUUUGGCAUCGAAGCACCACCAUGUAUGGCUAGCCUUCCAUGGCUACAUUGAGGGUCCCAAUCUGCAGAACACUGGCGCCGAGGAUCUGCUGCUCUGUCUCGGGGCUCAGCGCCCUCUUGGGCGCAGAGGUUGGCGUGCUCUCCCUCUGCACCAGGGUUCUGAUGGCCGCGCUUCGUCUGGCAGCGCUAGACAACGGCAAGAAGGAAGAGCUCGGGCCACCCGCGACGCCAGGCCGCCGGCCCUCCUCCCUCGAGCGCAAGGCGGCGAAGAGAUGGUUGAGAUGGUGCUGCAGCUCCGCAUGUACUGGCUUCUACAACGUCUCUUAGAAUUUGGUUGCUACUUCUUGCUGAUCAGGUGCAAUGUAUUAAUUCAAGUAGUAUGUUAUGUACAAUUUGUCAAGAGCAAUCGGAUGUUAAUCUGCUAUGGGCAGCGGCGGUACAUGAAGGUGCAAGGCAGCAGCGACAUGUUCAUAAUAUACAAGCCUGCUUACAUCUCCCAAUAUCUCCUCCUGGUCAAGGCAAUUGCACAUGAUGAAGACGCUCAUUUUAGAUCAGUUCAUGGCAUAUGUGUCUAUUUGUGUCUAUUUCCUUUAGAUGAAGUACGACUACCUUCGCACAGUACCCUUGCAUUUGUGUUCUUAUCAAAUAAGUUUCUUUCUGCAGAAUUUGUUCAGGUUUUGUCUCGCUCACACCUCAAGAUGCGAGUCUGGGAGUGCGGUGCUGACUGUAGGAGCAACUGGUGCUUGUGGGACUGGUGCUUGCAGUUGUUGCAGCUGUUCUUGAGGGCCGAGCUGAAUGUAUCUGAGAAAGGUAUAUUUCCUUUAUCACUCCCCCAGCAGACAUGA